CAGGUGACCAUUACAAUAAGACUACACUUCUGCAGCUGCAGACUCUGCAAAGAAAGGCAAAGGGUGUAGCAGCAAGGAGGGAAUGUCAUUUAAUUCGUUUCGUUCGUGAAUGCGUGUCGUAAGAAUCUGGACAUGGUGGCAAUUGCCAAAAGCAUCUAAUUUUAGCUUCUUUGUUGGUAUGUUCAUUGUAGUUUUGUAUUUCCUCAGUUCUCUUUUUGCGCUGCUCAGUAUGUUGUCAAAUACUCUCGACAGGCCGGAUGGUUUCGCUUUGCUUUUUUCCUCAAGUAUCGCAUCAGUGUAACCUCCACGUUGAAGAAAGAUCAACGACUUUAUUAGUUCGAUCGGACAUUUGGAGGAAAAUGGAAGUAUUUUGGUCGGCUUGAAAGAGUUUCACUGCUCCGUCCCUUUUCGCAGAAAAAGAAAAUGGAUGAGCAAAAGUCGUUGUUGAUGUAAUACAUAGACUAUGGCCGGCGAGACAUGAUGAGGAAGAUGCUCAAGACGGGAAUAUUGAGCAAUUCGUAAUAUAGUAAUCCAAAUGCGUAUCUUUUGACGAUAUGUACUCAUGUGCUUCACCGACA
rnacentral:sRNA from 1 species